rnacentral:rRNA from 1 species
AUUGAACGCUGGCGGCAGGCCUAACACAUGCAAGUCGAAUGGUAACAGGAAACAGCUUGCUGUUUCGCUGACGAGUGGCGGACGGGUGAGUAAUGUCUGGGAAACUGCCUGAUGGAGGGGGAUAACUACUGGAAACGGUAGCUAAUACCGCAUAACGUCGCAAGACCAAAGAGGGGGACCUUCGGGCCUCUUGCCAUCAGAUGUGCCCAGAUGGGAUUAGCUAGUAGGUGGGGUAACGGCUCACCUAGGCGACGAUCCCUAGCUGGUCUGAGAGGAUGACCAGCCACACUGGAACUGAGACACGGUCCAGACUCCUACGGGAGGCAGCAGUGGGGAAUAUUGCACGAUGGGCGCAAGCCUGAUGCAGCCAUGCCGCGUGUAUGAAGAAGGCCUUCGGGUUGUAAAGUACUUUCAGCGGGGAGGAAGGGAGUAAAGUUAAUACCUUUGCUCAUUGACGUUACCCGCAGAAGAAGCACCGGCUAACUCCGUG